rnacentral:lncRNA from 1 species
UACCCUUAGGUUUUGAAUUUGCUGAAAGAUUUUGUUUACCAAUGAAAGUUUAAUUGAAUCUAUUUAAUCAAAUGUGUUUUUUUCUAAUUAUAUUAAAAUCAUGUUUUUCUGCCUAAAAUGUGAAACAAUGAAGUGUUACCAGACUGCUAAAAUAAUUCUUAACUUCCUGUCAGUUUUUUUUUAAAUAUAACAUUGCAAAUGUAGUUAAAAUUCUGGUAUAAUUCUUCCCAUCUGUGAUUAUCUUCAGCUGAUCAUCAAUACAAUGAGUUGGUUAUAAAGGGAAGAAAUUUAGUGACUUUCUAAGCAGAGGGACUUGCCCCUUUGACUGCUACAGUGAGGAUCUGACUAUAUCAGUGUAACUGAAUAUGCUUUGAACAACUGCAGAGGUCAAGUGACAAUGACAUCUCAAACUGAACUACAAUUUAUUUUAUAUUUACAAAAGCCACAUACCAUUUUGCCCCCAAAAGUUAAAACCUACUUGUUUUGUAGUAAUUUGUCAUUAAGACUCUUUUUUUAAAAAAUAAAUUUAGUGAAUUCAUGUCUUUUUGUAUUCUCAUGUUGGUUGGAUUGCUAGUCUGUGUUUAUUCUCUUCUGGAGUCCAAUAUAUCACAAUGUUUAUCUUCACAAAUGUAAUAAGUAAUAGAUAUCAUUAUGUAACCAGAACCACACAUAGAAUCUUUAAAAUAGCAGUUCAUUUAGACUUUAUAUUAUCUGGAAAUCAAAUAAUAAUGUUAUUAUUUAUGCGAAAAGGAAGCAUUUUAAAAUACAUUAAUUUUUAAACUGUAAUGAUUUGUAGGUGAAGGAAGGCUAAGCUGAUGUUUUUUCCUGGGGAUGAACUAUUUUUAUUUUAUUUUCCUAAUCUCACUCAUUGAUUCACUGCUUGCAGUUUACAAUCAGCAUAGAUGCUCUAAAUGCUCAGUGAAGUACUGCCGCAGUCUGGCUGGGCACAAAAUCAGGAGCCACUCAAGCAGGAACAAACUUUAUUUCCAAAACUCCCGUGAAUGCCAGGAAUGUGGCCUUCUCCUGGGACACACUACACCAACAGGAAAUCCCUCCUCCGGAAUUCCCUCCUACCGCACUUCCCCAACCAUUGGGAACUCUCCAGUCCUGGAGAGCUCCAAAGUAACAGGCCGAGGUGGACAGCAGGGGUCUAAUCUCCAAUUGAAUGCACAUCUUAACAUAAUCAUUAUCAUCUCAAUGGCUUACUGGUGUCACCUUUCAACCAAAAAUGCCAUGCGUCAUUCCUACUUGGCAAUGGCUCUCAGCAAAGUACUAUACAUGUGAAGUAAAGGUAAAAAUCUUAUAGUUAGAUUUUGCAAGUUAAAAAAGAAAAAAAAAGAAGAAAAAGGCCAGAAAAACUUUAGUGCCUGCAUUAAGCUUGCAAUUCCAGUAAAUUUCAUUUGAGCUAUGGUAUGAAAAAGAACAAGAUGUCCAUGUCAAAAUAGCUUCUUGGCUUACAUGGGUAAGGCAGAAUUUUUUCCAGAGCAUUUGCUUCAUUCCUAUGAAAACUUAACAGAAAGUUAUAGCAUUCUAAAAAGUCUCCUCCAUUGGUUAAUGUCUCUGUUAAUAUGACAUGCAAAGGAACACAUUAUGGUUAGCUGCCCAAAAGGUAGAAGACACCAUGAAAAUCUUUUGUGCUCUUGUGAAUGUACCUGCUUUAAAGUCUGAAGAACCUGAGUUUCCACUAGGAUUUGCUUAAAUUUGGGAAAAGUUGCCUAAUAUUUAUGAGACUUAGUUUUCUGAUCAUUAAAGUGAAAAAAUUAAUACUACUUUACAUACUACAUAUUGGCAUCC